rnacentral:pre_miRNA from 1 species
UAACUCUGCAGGCUGGCAGCCCCAAGGCUGGGUGAGUAUCUCUUUGAAAGGCUCACCUUCAAGAGUGACUAGGAGC